rnacentral:rRNA from 1 species
UACAGAGGGGGCAAGCGUUGUUCGGAUUUACUGGGCGUACAGGGAGCGUAGGCGGUUGGGUAAGCCCUCCGUGAAAUCUCCGGGCCUAACCCGGAAAGUGCGGAGGGGACUGCUCGGCUAGAGGAUGGGAGAGGAGCGCGGAAUUCCCGGUGUAGCGGUGAAAUGCGUAGAGAUCGGGAGGAAGGCCGGUGGCGAAGGCGGCGCUCUGGAACGUUACUGACGCUGAGACACGAAAGCGUGGGGGAGCAAACAGGG